AUUAUUUUGUUAUAAAUUGAAAUUUAAUGUUAAAUUUUCAUAAUAUUUAAAUGUUUAUUUAUUAUUAUAUUUUUUAAUGUUUAAUUAAAUAAUCAUAUUUAAAUGUUUUAUAGAUGAUUUAAAUAUAUGUUUUGUUUAUUUAAUUUAAAUAAAUAAUA
rnacentral:tRNA from 1 species